UCGUAAAGUUCUUUUAGCGGGGAAAAACACAAUGAUGGUACCCGCAGAAAAAGCACCGGCUAACUCCGUGCCAGCAGCCGCGGUAAUACGGAGGGUGCAAGCGUUGCUCGGAAUUAUUGGGCGUAAAGCGUAUGUAGGCGGUUUUCUAAGUCUGAUGUGAAAUCCCGGGGCUCAACCUCGGAACUGCAUUGGAUACUGGAAAGCUAGAGGACGAUAGAGGAUGGUGGAAUUCCAGGUGUAGGGGUGAAAUCCGUAGAUAUCUGGAGGAACAUCAGUGGCGAAGGCGGCCAUCUGGAUCGUACCUGACGCUGAGAUACGAAAGCGUGGGGAGCAAACAGGAUUAGAUACCCUGGUAGUCCACGCCCUAAACGAUGAUCACUAGACGUCAGAAAGCCUAAUCUUUUUGGUGUCGUAGCUAACGCGUUAAGUGAUCCGCCUGGGAAGUACGGUCGCAAGAUUAAAACUCAAAGAAAUUGACGGGGGCCCGCACAAGCGGUGGAGUAUGUGGUUUAAUUCGAUGCUACGCGAAAAACCUUACCUGGGCUUGACAUCCCGUGCUACCCCAUGAAAGUGGGGGUUCCCUUCGGGGACGCGGAGACAGGUGCUGCAUGGCUGUCGUCAGCUCGUGUUGUGAGAUGUUGGGUUAAGUCCUGCAACGAGCGCAACCCUUGCCAUUAGUUGCUACGAAAGGGC
rnacentral:rRNA from 1 species